GUGAUAUCAAAUUUUUGGACAAAACAUAAGUGUUGAAAUUAUACUUAGUGAGAAUUUAAGAUAGUAUUUCAAUGAUAUUACGAGAGGGGAAGUGUAUUGAAUUUCAAUUACUUAAAGUUAAGGAAUAUUUUGAAGGUUGCUAAGAUAAUGGAUAUAUCUAUGGGGUUGAGUGUGUUGGGGAUCCUUACACCAUACCAAACGAACCUCCUUUCCUUCUUCCAAAUCCGAAGAUGCAAUAUGCAGAUCUUCCGAUAUUGAUUGCAAUUAGCGAUUCGUUUAUCUACGGUUUGCUUUUUGCUAUUCCAAUUUUGUUAAUGAAGAAGAAGAAGUAAAUCUGAACAGAAUGGGAGAACGCAAGUCUUCAUCUAAGGAAAAAUCUUCCAGAAAGAAGAGGCUCAAAGUUUCCUCUAAGAUACGGAAGAGAAAAAGAAGAAGAAACAAAUCCAAGAAGUUAUCCAGUUCUGAGGAUGACUCGUGAUCUUCUGCUUCCUCUGAUUAUUCUAGCAGUCCACAGUCUUUGUCCUCCGAUUCAGAGGUUGAUUGUUUUAGGAAAAGACAUAGGUACUCACGUGAUAUAGAACACCUGUAGAAAAGAACUCAAAGAAUAUCUUCAAGCCAAGAUGUCAGUGACGGUUCACCCCCUUUAAAGAAAAGAAAAAGGUCAAAUAGAAAGAUUCUUGAUUAUGGGAGAGAAGUGUAGAAGAAGAAGCGAAAGAGACACGCUAGUAUUAGCUCCACAAACAGUGACUCAUGAAGUUGUUCUAGGAAAAUAGUAUUAGCUCCAAAGGUAGAGAUUUUGAGAGCUUCUCCACUUGCCUAGAUACAACUAAUAGUGGUAAAUAGGAAGCGAUAACGAAAUUGAGUUUGAAUAGUAGACAUUUGCAUAUAAUCCUUAAGGUUCCUAAUAUUUUUAGUUUUAACAAAUUAAUCUUGUCUUAAAAUACCUGACGUCUGAAGAAUUUUUUUAAUUAUAUCUAAGUUUUAAAUUUUCUAAUUUAAUUAGUAUAGAAUUAUUACUGUUUAAAGAGAAAUAAAUAAAAAGUAAUAUAAACUAGUAUACUCGUGAUUAAAAAUAUUGCUAUAAAUACUUUUGCAAAGCAUUGUCCAAAUAAAAUAGGCAUAAUAUAUAAAUAUAUCUUUUAAUUUGUCUUCCAUACUAAGACGAAUGGAUCUAUUUGUUUAAUUUAUACAAGCUUAAGUGUCUAUUUAUACAUAAUUAAAAGUGAAGGGCAUAAAUAUUUGCUUAACCUUCAUUUAAAACACGUUUAUGUAUUAUGCAAUAAAAUACUGAUAGCUCUUUUUUAUACAUUUAAACAGCUCUAAAAGAUAGGAUUAGGUGGUUUGAAGUUAAUAAAACAAAAUCUGCGUCGCAUGUAAUAAUAAGCCGGUUUUCUACUUUGUUUUUUUAUGGUAUUUGACACUCCCUUCUGUGGGCUUAAUACCAAAUCCUUAAAACCCCUGAUAAUCCUUGGUGUUUUCAUCCUUUCUUUAAGACUUCUGUGGGCUUGAUUACCAAAUCCUUAAAACUCCUCAUAAGCCUUGUGUUCUCAUCCCUUCUUUAAGAAGGGUUUCAUUUUGGGGAACUUGAGGCUGAGUGAAGUGAAAAUGGGGCGAUUAUUUUUUCAGGAUCUUGAAGGCAAAACCUUCAAUUGCAAAUUCUGCAAAACCAAACUUGCCCGUGCUGAUCAACUUAUUACCAAGGUACAAUUUUUCCCCUUUUAUUUUUUAUUUUUUCUUGAAUGACUAGAUCUAGCUAUGUAAAAUCCCGAUCUUUCAUUUGACAUGGCUAAAUAUCCUACAAGUGAAAAUCUCACCUUUUUUAUAGGUAGUAAAUAAGUAAUUUUUAUGUAGUUUAGUGCAAAUGUUAUGCUUUUCUUGUUAAUUCAGUAGUGUCAAAUUUACGAUUUCGUCAUUUCUCAUCAUGAAUUUGAAUUUGACCAUUAGGAAAAUGGUUAAUUGAGUUACGGAUGGAAGAGAGUGCAUAUUUUAUUUGUCUCUAAAAAAUGUUGCUGAUUAGAUCCAGAAAUGAGUGACUAUUUCAUGAGAGAUAGCAGCGACGUGUGAAGAUGUUUGGAAGCUCUCAAGCUUGUUGGAUCAUGUCGAUUUUAUGUAUAUUUAGAGAUGUUUGAACAAAAUAGUUCAUAGUUUAGCUAGAUUUUCUAUUUCUUUAUUGAAGGAGAUCUCUUGGGAGAGGUUUUUCCCCAUGUUAGAUCGUGCAUGAUGCUAAGGGUACAUUGAAUUUCGUAGUUUUUGAUGCAAAUGUACAAAGUGUUAAGUUUCGUUGAAAAAGUUCAUGAAUCUGACAAGCUUAAUGUUGUUUGCCAAGCAUACAUUAGCCCUCCUCUUUUGUUUAAGCGUGAAACUCAUUAAACACGUUCUUUUAGAUAAGAACUCAAUUGUAGAUUCUUCUUUGCUGCCUGUGCUAAAAGCAAAGUUGCAUUUGGGAUCUGGAGGUUUUGCGAUGCAACUAUUCUUUGAACAUAGACAUCUUGCUAUUUAAAAAGGGAAGGUUGUCUUCUCUUUUAUAUGUUAAUAAAACAAAAUCUGCGCCACAUAUAAAAAUAAGCCGGUUUUCUACUUUGUUUUUAUGGAAUUUAACAUUCACUUCUGUGGGCUUAACUCUCCAAAUCCUUAAAACCCCUCUAAGCCUUGUACUUUUCAUCCAUUCUAUAAGAAGGGUUUCGAUUUGGGGAGAUUGAGGCUGUGUGAAGUGAAAAAUGGGGAGAUUAUUUUUGGUGCAUCCUUAUGGCAAAACUUACAAGUGCAAAUUCUGCGAUGCCAAACUUGGUCACGUUGGUUCACUUGUUUCAAAGGUACAAUUUUUCCCCUUUUUAUUAUUUUUGGUUGAUUGACAAGAUCUAGCUA
rnacentral:lncRNA from 1 species